AGCCAAUGUAAUGUCCUACCACUCUAUCUCUAUAUAAACAGGUAAUGAGGAGACCCUCAAGGUAUGAAAUACUAAGGCCAUUUUCUCUCUUCUUUACUGUUCUCAAGCUCCGCUGACUUAAGUAUCAGAGGAUCUUCUGCCAAAAAAUCUCUGACAAGUGUAGACUUUUUUUUUGUAGGUCCACCUCGGCAUCCCAAUGCUCGA
rnacentral:lncRNA from 1 species